CCUACGGGAGACAGCAGUGAGGAAUAUUGGUCAAUGGCCGGAAGGCUGAACCAGCCAUGCCGCGUGAAGGUCAGUGCCCUAUGGGCGUUAAACUUCUUUUGUGCGGGAGCAAUAAUGGUCACGUGUGGCCAGACGAGAGUACCGUACGAAUAAGCAUCGGCUAACUCCGUGCCAGCAGCCGCGGUAAUACGGGGGAUGCAAGCGUUAUCCGGAUUUAUUGGGUUUAAAGGGUGCGUAGGCUGUGAGGUAAGUCAGCGGGGAAAUGCCCCCGCUCAACGGGGUGAAGUGCCAUUGAUACUGCCUUGCUGGAAUGCGGAUGCCGUGGGAAGAAUGUGUGGUGUAGCGGUGAAAUGCAUAGAUAUCACACAGAACACCGAUUGCGAAGGCAUCUCACGAAGCCGCGAUUGACGCUGAUGCACGAAAGCGUGGGUAUCAAACAGGAUUAGAUACCCCUGUAGUC
rnacentral:rRNA from 1 species